CUACAGUAGCUUGUCCCCUAGGAUGUGCAAACUUGAAAAUCAAUGUUCACUUCGUUCGGCGCAGUGAUGAAGUCUGCACUUUGAAUUAUUCACAGCACUCUGAGUUAGCUCAUGCUAUCAUGAGAACAACCCAAGAAGAGACAAAUGUAUUGAUUACCUUAAAGUAUUCCGGGAACCCAGUAUUUCAAGGAAAAUGGAACCACCUUAAUUUCAACUGUUUAAUCAACUUUUUAAGAGUACACCAACUUUGGCCUGUCAUACCUGGACGGAUGGUUUGGGAGCUCACCGAGGCCGCCAUUACAGACCAGCCAAUUAGUGAUCCAAAACUUUUAAUGUUUUCUUUGUAAAACUUGAACACAAGAUAAACAAAUCUAAUGUAUUAA